GACGAACGCUGGCGGCGUGCUUAACACAUGCAAGUCGUACGGUAAGGCCCUUUCGGGGGUUCUCGCGUGGCGCACGGGUGAGUAACACGUGAGUAACCUGCCCACAACUUUGGGAUAACGCUAGGAAACUGGUGCUAAUCCUGGCUAUGUGCUCCUGCUGCAUGGUGGGGGUUGGAAAGCUCCGGCGGUUGUGGAUGGACUCGCGGCCUAUCAGCUUGUUGGUGGGGUAGUGGCCUACCCAGGCGGCGACGGGUCGCCGGCCUGAGAGGGUGACCGGCCACAUUGGGACUGAGAGACGGCCCAGAAGCCUACGGGAGGGAGGAGUGGGGAAGAGGGCACAAAGGGCGGAAGCCUGAUGCAGCAACGCCGCGUGCGGGAUGACGGCCUUCGGGUUGGAAGCCGCGUUCAGCAGGGACGAAGCUUUUUGUGACGGUACCUGCAGAAGAAGCACCGGCUAACUACGUG
rnacentral:rRNA from 1 species